GUAGCUCUUAUGCCCCCCACAAUUGCAACUUCAACUACAACUGUAGCAUCACCUACAACAACAACUGCAGAUGCUUCCACAACCACAAGUGCAGCACCUACUACCUCAAUCCCAACUGCAGGUCCUACUACCAUUUUGACUCCUAAGACAAUCACAACUGAAGCUCCUACAGAAAUCACAACUGUAGCUCUUAUACCCCCCACAAUUGCAACUUCUACUUCAACAACUGUUGCUUCCACGAACACAACUGCAGCGGCUCCUAUAAUAACAACUGUAGAUGCUUCCAUAAACAAAACAGCAGCACCUACUACGUCAAUCUCAACUGCAGGUCCUACUACCAAUUUAACUCCAACGACAACCUCAACUGAAGCUCCAACAGACAUCACAACUGUCGCUCCUAUGCACCCCACAAUUGCAACUUCAAAUGUAGCAUCACCUACAACAACAACUGCAGAUGCUUCCACAACCACAAGUGCAGCACCUACUACCUCAAUCCCAACUGCAGGUCCUACUACCAUUUUGACUCCUAAGACAAUCACAACUGAAGCUCCUACAGAAAUCACAACUGUAGCUCUUAUGACCCCCACAAUUGCAGCUUCUACUUUACCAACUGUUGCUCCCACGACCACAACUGCAGCAGCUCCUAUAACAACAACUGUAGAUGCUUCCAAAAACACAACAUCAGCACCUACUACGUCAAUCACAACUGCAGGUCCUACUAACAUUUUAACUCCAAUGAUAAGCACAACUGAGGCUCCUUCAGACUCCACUACUGUUGCUCCUUUGAACCCCACAAUUGCAGCUUCUUCUUCAACAACUGUAGCUCCCACGAUCACUACAACUGCAGAAGCUCCUACGACAACAACUGUAGCUGCUUCUACAUUUACUACUGCAUCCCCUACUGCAACCACAACAGAAGCUCCUUCUACAACAACUGUAGCACCAAUGACUUUAGGAACAACAGUCCCAACGACAACUGCAGCUAAUUCCUCAACUUUAGCUCCUUCAAUGCCAAUCCCAACUGCAGCUCCUAUAACAACAACUCUUGCUCCUACAACCUCUACAACUUCCGCACCCACUAGUUUAUUCACAACUGCAGGUCCUACUACCAUUUUACCUCCUUCAACAACCACUACAACAUCCACUACAACAACUGUAGCUCCUACAAUGUCAAUCUCAGCUGCAGGUCCUACUACCAAUUUAACUCCAACGACAACCUCAACUGAAGCUCCAACAGACAUCACAACUGUAGCACCUAUGCACCCCACAAUUGCAACUUUAACUGUAGCAUCACCUACAACAACAACUGCAGAUGCUUCCACAACCAGAGGUGCAGCACCUACUACCUCAAUCCCAACUGCAGGUCCUACUACCAUUUUGACUCCUAAGACAAUCACAACUGAAGCUCCUACAGAAAUCACAACUGUAGCUCUUAUGCCCCCCACAAUUGCAACUUCAAUUACAACUGUAGCAUCGCCUACAACAACAACUACAGAUGCUUCCACAACCACAAGUGCAGCACCUACUACAUCAAUCCCAACUGCAGGUCCUACUACCAUUUUGACUCCUAAGACAAUCACAACUGAAGCUCCUACAGAAAUCACAACUGUAGCUCUUAUACCCCCCACAAUUGCAACUUCUACUUCAACAACUGUUGCUUCCACGAACACAACUGCAGCGGCUCCUAUAAUAACAACUGUAGAUGCUUCCAUAAACAAAACAGCAGCACCUACUACGUCAAUCUCAACUGCAGGUCCUACUACCAAUUUAACUCCAACGACAACCUCAACUGAAGCUCCAACAGACAUCACAACUGUCGCUCCUAUGCACCCCACAAUUGCAACUUCAAAUGUAGCAUCACCUACAACAACAACUGCAGAUGCUUCCACAACCACAAGUGCAGCACCUACUACCUCAAUCCCAACUGCAGGUCCUACUACCAUUUUGACUCCUAAGACAAUCACAACUGAAGCUCCUACAGAAAUCACAACUGUAGCUCUUAUGCCCCCCACAACUUCUACUUCAACAACUGUUGCUCCCACGACCACAACUGCAGCAGCUCCUAUAACAACAACUGUAGAUGCUUCCAGAAACACAACAUCAGCACCUACUACGUCAAUCACAACUGCAGGUCCUACUAACAUUUUGACUCCAAUGACAAGCACAACUGAGGCUCCUUCAGACGUCACUACUGUUGCUCCUUUGAACCCCACAAUUGCAGCUUCUUCUUCAACAACUGUAGCUCCCACGAUCACUACAACUGCAGAAGCUCCUACGACAACAACUGUAGCUGCUUCUACAUUUACUACUGCAUCCCCUACUGCAACCACAACAGACGCUCCUUCUACAACAACUGUAGCAUCAAUGACUUUAGGAACAACAGUCCCAACGACAACUGCAGCUAAUUCCUCAACUUUAGCUCCUUCAAUGCCAAUCCCAACUGCAGCUCCUAUAACAACAACUCUUGCUCCUACAACCUCUACAACUUCAGCACCCACUAGUUUAUUCACAACUGCAGGUCCUACUACCAUUUUACCUCCUUCGACAACCACUACAACAACUGUAGCUCCUACAAUGUCAAUCUCAACUGCAGGUCCUACUACCAAUUUAACUCCAACGACAACCACAACUGAAGCUCUUACAGACAUCACAACUGUAGCUCCUAUGCCACCCACAAUUGCAACUUCAACUGUAGCAUCACCUACAACAACAACUACAGAUGCUUCCACAACCACAGGUGCAGCACCUACUACAUCAAUCACAACUGAAGCUCCUACAGAAAUCACAACUGUAGCUCUUAUGCCCCCCACAAUUGCAACUUCAACUACAACUGUAGCAUCACCUACAACAACAACUACAGAUGCUUCCACAACCACAAGUGCAGCACCUACUACAUCAAUCACAACUGCAGGUCCUACUACCAUUUUGACUCCUAAGACCAUUACAACUGCAGCUCUUAUGACCCCCACAAUUGCAGCUUCUACUUCAACAACUGUUGCUCCCACGACCACAACUGCAGCAGCUCCUAUAACAACAAUUGUAGCUGCUUCCACAAACAAAACAGCAGCACCUACUACGUCAAUCACAACUGCAGGUCCUACUAACAUUUUACCUCCUUCGACAACCACAACUGUAUCACCUAUGACAACCUCAACAACUGUAGCUCCUACAAUGUCAAUCUCAACUGCAGGUCCUACUACCAUUUUACCUCCUACGACAACCACAACUGUAUCACCUAUGACAACCUCAACAACUGUAGCUCCUACAACACCAAUCACAACUGCAGGUCCUAAAACCAUAUUAACGACAACCGCCACUGCAACUUCUACUACAACUACAAAUGCAGGUCCUUCAACCACCACAACUGCAGCGCCUAUUACAACUAGAACAGCAGCUCCUACAAGUUCAACCACAAUUGCACUUCCUACCUCGACAACCACAACGGCAACAUUUACCUCAACUUCUACGGCUUCAGUGGCAUCAACUAGAUUUGGCACAGUGGUGGUUUUUGUAAGACUAGAGUUCCAGCUCAACACUGCAGUCCCCAGUAAGGAUGUCGUCCUUGGUGCCGUCGACAAGAAACUGUCUACACAAUUCAGGACCUUCAAAAUUCAAAGAAACACUCAAGCCACCCUCCAGAAUGCAACUUAUAUCAAACUUUCAGAUACUUCAUUUGCUGUUGAUCUUGGUUUCAAAAUAACCAAUGUAUCUAUGGAGGAGAGACUGCUUCAAAGUGCUAGAGCCACUUUCACCGAUGAUACCUACAGCCAGAUACAGGAUUCAAUUAACAGCCUACUGCAUGAUAUUCUCAGUGAACCAAAAGGCAAACAAUUUGACUUUCCCAAAGCCAAAUUUAGUGUUGUUGGCAAUCAAAUCAGGGCAAACGUGACGUAUGUAUACAAAGAGAAAGACGUCAACCUCCCUAGUGCCUUUCUAGGGGAUGUUUUAAAAGUCUCAGGUCUCCUAACAACCACUGUUGCACCAACAACAACUACCAGCACCUCACCACCUACUACCCCUUUGCUGACCACUCCUUUCAGUAUAAGUGACAGAGGUUUUCCUGGCUGGGCUCUGGCCAUUAUCAUCCCCUGUGGCAUCGCUAUCAUUCUGGUACCCCUGUGGAUCCUGCUAUGUUGCAUGCUAUGUGGCGGCUGUGCAGCUUUAAGGAGACGCUGGCAACAACACAGAGCUUACAACGUACAGUACACCACAAGAAACGGCAUCUUCUGAGGUGACAAGACUAUCAAAAUAACAGCUAAUCAUCUAUAUCUGCUCAUCAUCACAACAAAUAAUAUAUUUUUCAUGUAAUCCAUACACCAUUACUUUUGAGAAGAUCAAACACGGACUUGCUUUUAUUUUUAUAACAAAAUUGCAUUGUUCUUGAAAGGGUUAAUAGGUCAUGUGUUUCCCCAAUGUACUACUUUUUAAUAUUAUACAGUAUUUCUCAUUUUAGUCAAAGCUACAGCUGAGCUGGUAUAUUAUGCAUUUAUGUAAUUUAAUCAUUUAUAUACACAAAAAUAUUAUUUUUGAUUUUUGUCAUUUCCCCUGCUGAUUUAAGCUAUUAACUCACUAUAUUUGAAAGUCUGCAAUACAGCACUUGUUUCUUUAUCAUACAAUUUAACACAUGUAAUAAAAGCCUUUCAAAUCAACAUUAACUGGAUAAAUAAUGUCUGCAGAAAUCCUCUUAGAAUUAUUUAAACAUGCUAUAACGCAACAAUUGUUAACACUUUGCUCUACGUGGGUAAGGUAUUCAUAACAC
ensembl:lncRNA